UACAGAGGGGGCAAGCGUUGUUCGGAAUUACUGGGCGUAAAGCGCGCGUAGGCGGCUUUGUAAGUUAGAGGUGAAAGCCCGGAGCUCAACUCCGGAACUGCCUUUAAGACUGCAUCGCUAGAAUUGUGGAGAGGUGAGUGGAAUUCCGAGUGUAGAGGUGAAAUUCGUAGAUAUUCGGAAGAACACCAGUGGCGAAGGCGACUCACUGGACACAUAUUGACGCUGAGGUGCGAAAGCGUGGGGAGCAAACAGG
rnacentral:rRNA from 1 species